UCAUCCACACUGGGACUGCGACACGGCCCAGACUCCUACGGGAAGCAGCAGUGGGGAAUUUUGCGCAAUGGGCGCAAGCCUGACGCAGCAACGCCGCGUGCAUGACGACGCCUUUCGAGGUGUAAAUGUGCUGUCGACCGGGACGAAUGGGCGAGGGUGAACAGCUUUCGCGCAUGACGGUACCGGUGGAGUGAAGCCCCGGCUAACUCCGUGCCAGCAUGCCGCUGUAAUGACGGAGGGGGCGAGCGUUGUUCGGAAUUACUGGGCGUAAAGCGCGCGUAUGCAGGUGCAGCAAGUGGUAGCGUGAAAGCCCUCGGGUUAACCGGGGACGGGCGUGCCAAACUGUUGGACUGGAGUGCCGGAGGGGGAUGCGGAAUUCCUGGUGGAGCGGUGAACUGCGUAGAGAUCAGGAAGAACGUCGGUGGCGAACGCGGCCUCCUGGACGGACACUGACGCUGAGGUGCGACAGCGUGGGCGAGCGAACGGGAUUUAAUACCCCGUGUAGUCGCCGCGUUAAACAAUGGGACUAACUGUAGGGCUUGUGAUAAUGCCCGUGCCGGAGCUAACGCAGUAAGUACCCCGCCUGGGGACGUACGGUCGCAAGGCUGAAACUCAAAUGGAACUUGACGGGGGCCCGCACAAGCAGGUCGGAGCAUGUGAGCCCAAUUCGACGCAACGCGCAGAACCUUACCCAGGUUUGACAUGCACCGGCACAGCGAGGAGAGUAGGUGGCACUGUUUCGGGACGGUGCACAGGUGCUGCAUGGCUGUCGUCAGCUCGUGUCGUGAGAUGUUGGGUUAAGUCUAGCAACGUGCGCAACCACUGCCCGUAGUUGCCAACAGGUGAUGCUGGGGACUCUAUGGGGAUUAUCGGUG
rnacentral:rRNA from 1 species